rnacentral:rRNA from 1 species
UACAGAGGGUGCAAGCGUUGUUCGGAAUUAUUGGGCGUAAAGCGCGUGUAGGCGGCUUUGCAAGUCGGGUGUGAAAGCCCUCAGCUUAACUGAGGAAGUGCGCCCGAAACUGCAGAGCUUGAAUACCGGAGAGGGUGGCGGAAUUCCCCAAGUAGAGGUGAAAUUCGUAGAUAUGGGGAGGAACACCGGUGGCGAAGGCGGCCACCUGGACGGUUACUGACGCUGAGACGCGAAAGCGUGGGGAGCAAACAGG